GGCGAGACUAGAGUCACAUCUUGAUUUGUGAUUGUCUUGGUGUGCUUUGAGUUCUCGUAGAUCAAAACCUUGGCUUAUUCAUUGGCUCGUGCUACGUUAGCUGUGCCAAUCGCCAGCUUUGGGACAGUA
ensembl:snoRNA small nucleolar RNA SNORA3/SNORA45 family